CACUCCUGCGGGAGGCAGCAGUAGGGAAUCUUCCACAAUGGGUGCAAACCUGAUGGAGCAAUGCCGCGUGAGUGAAGAAGGUCUUCGGAUCGUAAAGCUCUGUUGUUAGAGAAGAACACGUGCUAGGUAACUACUAGCGCCUUGACGGUAUCUAACCAGAAAGUCACGGCUAACUACGUGCCAGCAGCCGCGGUAAUACGUAGGUGACAAGCGUUGUCCGGAUUUAUUGGGCGUAAAGGGAGCGCAGGCGGUCUGUUUAGUCUAAUGUGAAAGCCCACGGCUUAACCGUGGAACGGCAUUGGAAACUGACAGACUUGAAUGUAGAAGAGGAAAAUGGAAUUCCAAGUGUAGCGGUGGAAUGCGUAGAUAUUUGGAGGAACACCAGUGGCGAAGGCGAUUUUCUGGUCUAACAUUGACGCUGAGGCUCGAAAGCGUGGGGAGCGAACAGGAUUAGAAACCCCGGUAGUCCC
rnacentral:rRNA from 1 species